AAAGCCAAACCAUAUCAUCUUCAUUCUCCCCCCUGGCACUUGAGGGGAAAAAAGAAUCAUAUCAGCUUGACUAUUCAAAAAAGAAGCAAGAGCGCCACAGUUAUUUCAGUGCAUGGGAAAAGGGAUAAACUGAAACAAUAAACUUGAACGUUUAGGAAUAUAAAGGCACAGCAUCACCUUACAUCGAAGACAGAUUCAACGAAUCUGCCUCUCAUCCUAGGUGGCCACUAGGCAACUCCUCUGGGACCAUUUCUUCCUGCUCUAUGCUCCCAUGACCUUCAUUCAUACUCCCUCUUCCCCUGCUGGAAACCUACUUCUUUUACCUCCUCAAAGGUAAAAGGACCAGCUGGUGAACAAAAGAAUACAUUUGCUCUAUCUAAAGAGAAGCAUUAGAGCAAGGGAGGAAAAACUGAUGCAAGACAAAUGACUUGGGCUCAUCAUAAAAUACUGAGCAGUCAGCAGAACAUUAAGAAGAGACUUCUACUCCCCACCACACACAUAACCAUCUGCACACCUGAAUGCCGAGACUAAGCCUCACCAGACGCCAGCAGCAUAAAUGAGAGGAGUCACUUACCCCUCUGAGGCUCAGGCUUCUCGACUGGAAAAAAAAAAAGAUAAUAAAAAUAUCAGUUCAGUUGG
rnacentral:lncRNA from 1 species